rnacentral:rRNA from 1 species
AACGAACGCUGGCGGCAUGCCUAACACAUGCAAGUCGAACGAAGCCUUCGGGCUUAGUGGCGCACGGGUGCGUAACGCGUGGGAAUCUGCCCUUUGGUUCGGAAUAACAGUUGGAAACGACUGCUAAUACCGGAUGAUGACGAAAGUCCAAAGAUUUAUCGCCAGAGGAUGAGCCUGCGUAGGAUUAGCUAGUUGGUGUGGUAAAGGCGCACCAAGGCGACGAUCCUUAGCUGGUCUGAGAGGAUGAUCAGCCACACUGGGACUGAGACACGGCCCAGACUCCUACGGGAGGCAGCAGUGGGGAAUAUUGGACAAUGGGCGAAAGCCUGAUCCAGCAAUGCCGCGUGAGUGAUGAAGGCCCUAGGGUUGUAAAGCUCUUUUACCCGGGAUGAUAAUGACAGUACCGGGAGAAUAAGCCCCGGCUAACUCCGUGCCAGCAGCCGCAGUAAUAC